GCGGGGAUAGCUCAGAUUGGUAGAGCAGUGAAAGGGUUAAAACCCAUAGUCCUUAGUUUACAAACUUGCCUGAAAAGGCCAACUAAUUGAGGGUUAUCGUUAAUUCAUCGGACGCAGGUUCAAAUCCUGCUCCUCGCGCCA
rnacentral:tRNA from 1 species